UGACAAUACAAUUUUAACAAAUAUCUCAGAAAUGCAAUGGAUAAAACAACGGGAAGAUUUCAUUUAGUGGCUCUCACAGUGGCAGCACACUGUUGUACCUCAACCCUUUGUAUUGGUCCAGUAGAGGCAGUGGGCUGCUUGAGACAACCACAAGAAAACAACAACAUAUUUUUGAUAAAAGAAGUAUAUCUUAGGCUGUUGACUACCAGAAUGUGCCAGGUUUUCAACAUGUGGACAGGCUGGCAGAAUAUCUGGUGGAGCUCCGUGGUCACACAACCCUCAAGCUGGAUUCCCCAAUACUCCAUCAGAGGCAUAGAAGAAUGCGAUGAAAUGUGGGUCCAUCCGCUCAACCAGCGAAGGAGACAGUUGUUAUGACACCAACACGGGAGCUGAGAUGAACCCAGAUGUGGGAGUUUAUUGCACUGAACACAGAAAGAGCAGGGAAGCAAUGUGAGAUUUCUAGGAACAGGGGAAAGCUUUCACAGCCUUGCAACACAAUAUCGAGUUGGCACUAGCACUGUUGCUGGGAGUGUGCACAUGACAUGCCGAGCUAUUGAAAGGCGUCUGAUGGCAUCACAAUUCCCAAAACCAACAGAAAACAUGUGGAGAGAGAUUGCCUUCAAGUUCUGGACAAAAUGGAACUUCCCCAACUGCCUGGGUGCCAUUGAUGGUAAACGUGUGGAUAUUUGCACUGGCACAUUCUGGAAGCUUGUACUUCA